rnacentral:misc_RNA from 1 species
AUCAUGAUUAAGAAGAGCUUUGCAAAACUCGGUCACCGUCAAUGCCAAUAAGGAAUAGGCCUUGACAUUUAUUGUUUAUAUUUUGUUUUUGAUGAAAGGGUUAAGAACAAUCCUGCAUUUAAGAUAGUUGCAUAUUUAUUUAUAUAGAUAUAGUCGUUUUGGUUUGUCGUGUAUUCUUUACGAGUUGAAGAACCAGCAUCGAUGACACGUUCGUCGUACAUGAUUGCAGUAGCCUAGUUGUAUAAUUGACUGGAUCGGUUUGGACGAAACAGGAACCCCUAGAUGUUAUAUUUAUACAUUGUUUUAUGUUAAAUUAUGUCGCUGGCAUUAAGAUGUGGGGUCAGAAGUAGUGUUCGAGCCCUUUCCGGAAAGUCCUGUAGAUGCCUGGCCUCAGUCACAAAUGGUGUAGCAGCACAGUAUAAAAACAAGGUUUUGAUUCAACCAAGGCAAUGUCAAGAACAACAAAGAACUUUUCAUAUGGCUGCAUCUCUUCAGUCUAAAGAUGGCAGCGGUGAUGAUGGAACUGGAGGCGAGGGUGGGGCGUCGGGUCAGGGACCCAGCAGUUCCGGGGGAGAAGAAAAAAGGGUCCGACCCUGCUCGAACUGUGGCGAGGCACUUCAAAUUGACUCCAAGGUGAUGAUCAAUGGGUUCGUCAAAUGUGAUAAUUGUAAGCAGAUGUUGAUGGUUUCGGAGGAUCAAGCCGACCCGGAGGUGGCUGAAACAGAAGAGGAGGACACAGGGUAUAUCCCCACCCCAAAGGAGAUUCAUCGGUUCCUGGACGAGCAUGUGAUUGGUCAGGAGCUGGCCAAGAAGAGUCUGGCAGUGGCCGCCUACAAUCACUACAAGAGAGUGCGGUGGUGCAGAACCAGCUCUCAGUCCGGUCAAACCAAGACCAGAGUAGGGGAGAAUCUCUUCGCAGAAUCCCUGGAAGCAGCCAUCAGGGGCCAUGCCUCCAGCUCCCUGGGGUUCAACACUCACCACCAAGAGGAAAAUGACCCCCCAAUGAUGUCCCCCGACACAGACCCCAAAAAGAUUACCCUACAGAAAAGUAACGUGUUGUUACUGGGACCCACUGGAUCAGGGAAGACGUUGAUGGUGAAGCGGCUAGCGGAGUGUCUGGAUGUUCCGUUUGCGAUGUGUGACUGUACGUCAAUCACGGCUGCUGGUUACGUGGGUGAGGAUGUAGAGUCCGUUAUCUACCGACUCCUGGAGAAUGCUGAGUUUGAUGUGGACUAAGUGUCAACAAGGUAUUGUAUAUCUUGAUGAGGUGGAUAAAAUCCGAAGUAUCGUACCAGGGAAUUCCUCCAGGGGAGUGAACUCUUCCCGUGACGUGGGAGGUGAAGGGGUUCAGCAGGCAUUCCUUAAACUCUUAGAAUCCAACGUUGUCAAUGUGACAGAAAAAAUGGGGAAACGAAACGCUCACGAGACCACAUAUCAAGUGGAUACCACCAAUAUUUUAUUUAUAGCAUCAGGGGCAUUUACAGGAAUCACCGAUCUCAUACAAGGCAGAACUAAUCUAAAGAACUUUGGUUUUGGUGUUCACAAUGACAAAGCUAUCCUACAUGAGGAAGAGGAGAGAACUCUGUCAGACAUAGAACAGUUAAACCUCAAGUAUGACCGACUCCUGGGUCAGGUCGAGACGGAAGAUGUAGUGAAGUUUGGACUGAUCCCCGAGUUUGUGGGGCGGUUCCACAUAGUGGUACCCCUACACAGUCUUAAUGAGGACCACCUAGUGAAAAUCCUAACAGAAACCAAGAACUCCCUGAUAGCCCAGAAGGAGUUUCUGCUGGCCUAUGAUGAGUGUCAGCUGAUAUUCACAGACAGUGCAUUAAGGGCAAUUGCACAGAGAGCCAUCAAGAAGAAGACGGGGGCAAGAGGAAUUCACCAUAUACUGGAGGAGGUUCUACUGACGCCCAUGUACGAGGUUCCCAGUAUGCCUGACGUAGAGAAAGUCAUCAUUACUGCUGACACAGUCAACAAGAAAGAACUUCCCACAUAUAUACGACGUGAAAAUAUUGACGAACCUGUCAAACGACCCAUUCAGGCCAGUGGAUUAGCGUGAGGAGGAAAGAUGUUAGUGGUGAUUUGAUUCAGAUAUUCCAGUCAGUGAUCACGUGAUGAAGGGAGUCUAUCUGUGAAAGAGACCGGUCCAGUUAUUGAGAUACUGUGUGUGUUGGUUUUGGUGAGAAUCCAGACUCCUAAUUGUUUGUGAUGUUUUAUUUAUCAGAAAAAAUGUCACUCACAGCUAUGGAGACAUUCUGUACAGUACGUGAGAGAGAAAGAAAGGAGAGAGAGAGAGGUUUGUUUGAAAGCAUGUUUGGAGAUAUAGAGAGGGAAAGGGAGAGGUUUGAAAGCAGUAGUAUUUGGAUGAAUAGAGAGGGGAGAGAGAUGUUUGAAAGCAGUAGUGUUUGGAGAGAGAGAGAGGGGGAUGAGAGAGAAAAUUUUAUCUUCAAUAUGAUAUUCAUCUAAGUUAUAUUCUGAAGCAACUCCUGGAUAAAGGAAACCACUGAGCUGUGAUGAGUGUCAAAUGUAAACAUCACUUCACCGAGUUUUCUGUUUAUUCCAAAAUUGUUACCUAUGAGCUAUGAUGCAUAUUUGAAACCCAAUCAAAAUAGAAUAGAUCUGCUAGAUAUGAAUUUAAAUGGAAAAUUUGCAUUAACAGGUAACUACUGUAUAUAUUGACUGAAUUUGAGAUCUUGAUUCACAGUUUUUAAAUUGAUCAGUGCAUUGUACUGCAACCCUCAGAAAUGGCAUGAUUUUCUUGUUAUAUGCAUUUUCUGAUAAUGUAAUAAGAUAAUUUGAAAGU